GGACGCCGGACGUUGUCCUGGAGACAUUUGCCAAAUAUUUGUUUUCCCCUUAAAGGGUGCAGGGUGCAAACCAUUCCGUGAAGCCUUCUCCAGACGAAGUCAGGACUCUGACUGAUUUAACACUCAGUCAGUUUCUCGGCACCUUCCUGCCUCUCUCGCCCCUGCCCUCCUCUCCUCACUCCCUCCUCAGUCUCUCUCUCUCCCUCCCUCCCCUCUUCUCUCCCCGCUCCUGCCCCUGGCUCUGUACCUAUACCAUGCGGAUUAUUUACAGCAAAUCUUACAGAUGUCAGUAUUGUCUUGUUCUGAAGCCAAAAAGGACAAUGAGUUCCCGCUGACCUCGGUACAAUGGAUCUCGCUGGAGCACAAUAUGUAUUUUAUACGGGCAGUGAAAAGCCUACAAGUAAUUGAGAGAGAGAGAAAUGUCACUGGCGUUUCUGUUGACACUGCACUCUGUGGAGGGAAGCCCAGGGCCUGGCGGGGCAGGAGCCGCCGCAGCCGUGCUGUGUACCCAGGAACUUGUCCUUUAGGAAGGAUGAGGCAGAGGAAAUUAAUCUGCUCAGAUUUUCCAACUAAUGGAAUAUUCCCAGGACUGGAGAGGCCACGAGAAGUCGUCUGCGGCACGGUUUUCCAUUCGCGCGGGCAAGCGCACAGCAACACUGAGAAUAAUUAUUUGCUGCCAUCCAUCAAGUGUCUACGUAGUUGGCGCCUCGUGGGAUGGCCUUGAUUUCGAGCGUGGAACGUAACUCUUGCUCCCUGGGGCCAUUCCGUCCUCUGUCCCCGGGCUCUGCAGUGGGUGGUCUGGACACUGCGGAGCAGACCUUCCUCCGAGGAGCAGCUGCAGUGCCCGAGCUGUGUCCCUGGCCCGUCCGUUCCGGGGCCCUGGAGAUGAGUUUAUUCCUCCAACAAGCAUCUGCAUGCCUGCCGAGGGCCAGGCGCUCUUCUCAGCUCCGGGGAUGUCACCGUGAGCAGGACCAGUGAUGCCCCUCCCCAGUGGCGUUUCCGUCUCGGUGGGGAAGAAGGGGCUGAUGGAGCCUCAAUGUCGUCAUUCUUUGUAACCUCUGCUUCACCCUCUCUGGCUGCACGUCACAGAAUAUGCAGGAGGGACAUCACUUCCAGAGAGUGCCUCAUCUGUCUAUACAAGGCUCAGAAAGGAGACGGUAUUGUUACAGCGGCCCAAACAGACCGAGGCAGAGGCUAUCCGAGGUGUAGCAGGUAGAGGUCUGGGUGUCAGAGUGCUGGUCCGUGUUCGUUCCGAAGUCUCUCCCCACGGCCUGCCCACGCCCCGUGGUGCUGACAUCCUGUGUUUACUCUGGGAAGAAGAAAGUGUCACCCUGUGAGGUCACCCUGUGAGCUGGCCCCUGAAGGUGCAGCUCUCUCGCGGCCCGGGCGGAAGUGGCACCAUUGGGGCAGGAGGUGCUGCCGACAAACGCGCCACGUGAGCCAUCCUGGCGCGUCCUGGCAGGGGACGCUGCCCUCAGCCCUGUGUGCUUCCUACUGGCCUGUGUGUCGUCUCUAGUGUUCACGCCACGAGUCCUUUCUCAGGGUCAGUCCUUUGUGUGUCCUGCUCGAGAAACAUUUGCCUGUCCCAGGUCCACAGAGAUGGCGUCCUGUGUUUUUCCAGAAGUUGUAUAGUUUUGGCUUUUAUGGUUAGCUCUGUCACACGUCUCAGAUUGUUUCCUCUACGUGAUGUAAGGGUUGAGGGUUGUUUUUCUCCCUGAAUGGAUGUCCGUUGCUUUCGAGAAUAUUUCCUUUUCCAUUGAAUCGUGCCUUGUCAAAACUCAGGGGACAGCACAUGGAGGAGUCUUUUCCCUGGACUCUGGUUCUGUCCCGCGGAUCUGUCUGUCCUUGUGCCAGUGCCACAGUGUCUCACUUACCACGGCUGUUUAACAGAUACAGGACUCCUGGGAUUUUCCACACCACCUUUCGUCUGUUUUGCUUUCUCUUCUCUCUCUCCUGGUGGCUCCGUCCCACACUGGCCCUGGGUUCUGCCAACCUCAUGACAGUACACUGUGCAGUGAAGAAUUUGGUCCCUUCUAGGCGGAAACAUGACUCUCAGGUUUGGUCUUGGCUCACGAGCCGCGCCCCAUGGUGGCCGAGUGAGCUGCGCUGACGCCGGGUUGUUCACAGCCCUCCUUCUGCACGGGGUUGGGAGGUGACGUGGUCGACUGGGGCAGCUUGGUGUGGGGGACACCCCUGUUCCUUUGUGACCCUUCGUUUCUUGUUCAGCCAACGCCUCUAACUCUGUUACUCAUUCUGAGUCUGCCACCAAAGUUAUCAAUCACCUUUAUUUUCCUCCUCUUUGUCCCAUCCUGCGGCCGCCCCACCCCUGUCCCCUUGCCAGCAGGAACAGAAGCUGACUUUCACUGAGCCCUGUGGGUACCUGCUGAGGUACCCUUGCAGCCCAGACCCCAUGCUGCCCUCCCAGCCCUGCACCAUGUGACCAGCUCAGUGUGCCUGCCCACUGUCCCUGCCGACAUUGGAGAUGCUGCAUGGACUUGAGAGGCACCUGUGCACACAGGCAUCGUGGUCCCCUCCUACCGCCCCAUGUGUGGACCACACGUUGACACGAGGAAGCCCGUGGGAAGUGCAGGGAAGCGGCUCUGCACAGGCCUCCUGGUGGUUGCACAGGUCCUGAGAGGAAUGAACCUCUGCCCCCGGCGUUGGGAGCAUGGAUGUGUGGCAUUGGGCAUGUCCUGCAGUGAGGCCUCCUGAGCCCCAGCUGACCUCCACUGGGCAAGCCGGUUCCCAGCUACGGCCUGGCCAGUGGCCUCGGCAGAGUUGGGCAACUUGGUUGUGCUCUCCCCAGGGAAUGUGAUUUCUCCUUGCACUCAUGUGUCCUCGUGACCUCCCUGGACUGCAGCUUCACCCCCUAGGCGCGGCCCUGGCGCAGAGCUGCGUGAGAGGCCCGGAGCAGACAACGUGGAGAAAUUGCUCCGUAGACCACCAGGUGCCGUGAGGUGACGGGGAGCCGGGCACUCCUGGCACCAGUUCCGAGUGGGAAGGAGGUGACUUGUCGGGCGACACCCUCUCCAGCCCCAGCCUCCGGCACCUUGGGAGGGGCCGGCAGCGGCGGGCUGCGGGUUUGCACCCACAAGCCUCUUUGCUGUCUCUCUAAGGCUGAAAUAAGGACCCGAUUGUGACUGACAGGAGAAAAAGGCGCGAUGACCGAGGGCUCAUGUCAUCAUGGAAGGUUCUCCUAUAGAUCCUUGUCAUUUCGCCCAAGACACAGAUUCAGAACCAAGGAUGUGCAAAUGAAACCCCUGAUGUAACUUCUGGGUGUGUAUAGCUGGUCAUUUUAAUAAUCAAAACAAAAUUACCAAAAGUGAAAUUCACAGACAAGAAAUACUUUAAUUAAAUAUUGUGUAAAAUGAA